rnacentral:misc_RNA from 1 species
AGGGAGGAGUACAUGGAGCUUGUGGAGAGGGAUCCUCGGCUUGUAGUGGAGAUUUAUGAGGCUUAUCUCUCCAAACAAGUUAAUACGGCAGCACAAAGGAUUCUUCCAUGAAGCCAUCUGCAGGUAUGGUUCUGUUGGUAUAUUUCUCUGAAUGCUGAAACUUUGCAGUGCAUUUGUUGGAAAGUGUCAAGGUGGCUGUUCUGGCAUGAGCAGCUAUGCACAGUCAGGACAGAAUUAUAGUUAUUGAA